AUGCUAGGCAAAGUUCAUAAGCAUUUUCAUGGAGUCCGAGAAGUGGUUCAGAGAACGAAAUUGAGUGAGACGAUGGAGGUUGAGAAGGAGAUUAAGAGACGACGAUGGGGUUUUGAUGAUAUUGAUCGGAGAAGAAGCAACUGUGGUACUGUUGAUGGAAGAAGGAAGAAUAGGGUUAGGUUUUAUGGAGAAGCUGAAUAG